rnacentral:ncRNA from 1 species
GAGCCUGUGGCAUAAUAUAAUUCAAUAUGAGAAGAACACCUAAUUUAUAUAUUCAGGCAUUGUGACUGUUUGAUCAGGUAGUGCCGCGACACUACUGUCGACUGGAUAAUGGUUGACUGCCUCUAAGUCAGACUCUAUACUGAAACGUGGUAAUGAUACCUUGUAUUUUUAAAUUGGUUGUGAAUAGGCCUCCCCGCUAUAUGUUUUAGCAAGCUUGUGACAUUUCCUAGAGAGAAGCCUCUGGAAGCUGGCUAGUAGAUUGUAAUAUUAUCCUAUAUGGUGAUCUCUGUAGAUGACUAAAGUAAUUGAAUACAUCAUAUAUACAGUUAAAUAAUCUUAUUGUUAUAAGUUACUGAGUAUUAGCCCGCCCUUGGCUAGAUUU